rnacentral:rRNA from 1 species
UACGGAGGGUGCAAGCGUUAUCCGGAUUUACUGGGUUUAAAGGGUGCGUAGGUGGACAGGCAAGCCAGUGGUGAAAUCUUCGAGCUUAACUCGGAAACUGCCAUUGAUACUAUUUGUCUUGAAUACUUUGGAGGUAAGCGGAAUAUGUCAUGUAGCGGUGAAAUGCGUAGAUAGGACAGAGAACACCAAUUGCGAAGGCAGCUUACGGCACAGUUAUUGACACUGAGGCACGAAAGCGUGGGGAUCAAACAGG